rnacentral:lncRNA from 1 species
GGCAGUGGGUUGGGAGGUAAAGAGUAAGACAGUGAGGGACAAUAGCUCUUUCAGUAAGUUCAAUGGUGGAGGAAAGAGCAUGGGGUGGAUUGUUCUGGGGUCAGAACCUUAAACCCUGCUUAGAUGGAAAGGAAGGAGCUUGUAGAAAGCAGUACAGGAGAGGGAGAGAAUAACCCAUGCAUAUGUAGGCUCUCUUUUAUGUUUUGGAUCUACUGUACACAUCCUUUUCAUCCUUGUGUCCCCUAGUCCAGUUUGUUGAGCCAGUAUCUUCCAUCAAACGGGUGUUCAGUAAAUGAAUUGAACGAUGUCACAUA